ACGCCUAACACAUGCAAGUCGAGCGAGGUAGCAAUACCUAGCGGCAGACGGGUGCGUAACAUGUGGGAAUCUGCCUUUUGGUUCGGAACAACACGGGGAAACCUGUGCUAAUACCGGAUAAGUCCUUACGGAGAAAGUUUUUAAUGCCAAAAGAUGAGCCCGCAUUUGAUUAGCUAGUUGGUGAGGUAAAAAGCUCACCAAGGCGAUAAUCAAUAGCUGAUUUGAGAGGAUGAUCAGCCACACUGGGACUGAGACACGGCCCCAAACUCC
rnacentral:rRNA from 1 species